rnacentral:rRNA from 1 species
GCAGUCGACGGUAACGGGAGAAAGCUUGCUUUCUUUGCUGACGAGUGGCGGACGGGUGAGUAAUGCUUGGGAAUCUGGCUUAUGGAGGGGGAUAACUACGGGAAACUGUAGCUAAUACCGCGUAAUAUCUUCGGAUUAAAGGGUGGGACUUUCGGGCCACCUGCCAUAAGAUGAGCCCAAGUGGGAUUAGGUAGUUGGUGGGGUAAAGGCCUACCAAGCCGACGAUCUCUAGCUGGUCUGAGAGGAUGACCAGCCACACUGGAACUGAGACACGGUCCAGACUCCUACGGGAGGCAGCAGUGGGGAAUAUUGCACAAUGGGGGGAACCCUGAUGCAGCCAUGCCGCGUGAAUGAAGAAGGCCUUCGGGUUGUAAAGUUCUUUCGGUGAUGAGGAAGGCAGGUAAGUUAAUAGCUUACUUGAUUGACGUUAGUCACAGAAGAAGCACCGGCUAACUCCGUGCCAGCAGCCGCGGUAAUACGGAGGGUGCGAGCGUUAAUCGGAAUGACUGGGCGUAAAGGGCACGCAGGCGGUGACUUAAGCGAGAUGUGAAAGCCCCGGGCUUAACCUGGGAAUUGCAUUUCAUACUGGGUCGCUAGAGUAUUUUAGGGAGGGGUAGAAUUCCACGUGUAGCGGUGAAAUGCGUAGAGAUGUGGAGGAAUACCGAAGGCGAAGGCAGCCCCUUGGGAAUAUACUGACGCUCAUGUGCGAAAGCGUGGGGAGCAAACAGGAUUAGAUACCCUGGUAGUCCACGCUGUAAACGCUGUCGAUUUGGG